rnacentral:rRNA from 1 species
CAGUCGCCACGGGAAUACGAAGGGGGCUAGCGUUGUUCGGAUUUACUGGGCGUAAAGGGCGCAUAGGCGGACUGAUAAGUCAGGGGUGAAAUCCCAAGGCUCAACCUUGGAACUGCCUUUGAUACUGUUUGUCUUGAGUUCGAGAGAGGUAAGUGGAACUGCGAGUGUAGAGGUGAAAUUCGUAGAUAUUCGCAAGAACACCAGUGGCGAAGGCGGCUUACUGGCUCGAAACUGACGCUGAGGCGCGGAGGCGUGGGGAGCAAACAGGAUUAGAUACCCCUGUAGUCCCUGUCUCUUAUAC